rnacentral:rRNA from 1 species
UCCUGCUUUCGUUGGCUGCUUCUCCUUCCCCGCCCGCCUCUUCUCUCUUUUCAGCGGCCGAGCGGCGGCGGCAGCAGCCGCUCCGGUGUCAGCGCCGGGAGGCGAGGGCUAGCUCCCGGAGGAAGCAAGCAUGGCAUCUCCAAACCAAGCAACCGGAGAAGUCAGAUGUUCUUGAGCUGUCGAGCGGCGGUGGAUGGAUGGUACACCACGCUCAAGGAACCCCGCAUUAACUUUGGAGGCCCGCCGUCCACCACACUCUCCAGGAAGGACCUUCGGAGUUACGUCGGAGGCGUAGACGACCACUCAGGACAAACCACCUGUAGCAGCACGACUCUAACCCGCGAACAAAGAACCAAAGUUCUUGAUCUUCAACUUGGGACGCACCUGCACCGAUCAGGCCCGACCUAGUACCUCGUUGGUCCCGUCUAGCUAAAACGAGAUCGGACUAGUCAUCACUAACUAGAGGUCACUCGUACAGGAGCGGAUCGUUCUGAAACUACCCUCCCUUCUUUCGUUUCCACCACCUCCCCUUACGAGCCGACGAGACGUCACUACGCGAGUGGCUCCAGAAGGUGUUCGACGGACGGGCGUGCGAGCGAAGAACGUCCUACCAUACGUUUAUGACCUACAGUAACGAAAGGCUACACGUAAAAGAAGUGCUCGUGGACUUGGCUUCGGUCGUCUUCAACGACGAGAAACGUUUACUGUCUCGUUUACUAUCCAGAGAACGGUACCACGAGCGUCUGCGGUUACCUAUGUACAUGGUCGACAGAUCCGGGAACCAACGAGUCUCGGACAAACACGUGUUGAGAACGUUGCCGGACGAGACGGAUCCACUGUCAUUUCCUCGUCACCUCAACGAGUUGGGCUGUUGGCCACUUAGACAACACAACGGCUUCGGUUACAUGUGACGUCCUUCGUCGGUUAAGAGUAGUACGUUGACCGUGACGAACCCCAAAACGGGCAGUUGAUUCGUUGUGUUUUAACGCGUGAAAAUAGGCCCUCGAGUACGACCAAGAGAGCUCCACGAGACGCUCUAUAUGUGUUAACCUCUAUCUCUGACCUCUGUUUAACCCUGAGAGGCACCCCGUGGUUAACUAUCUCCAUAUGUACACUUACCAAGCCACAUAAUAAACUGUUCCAAGGCAAUAUAGAGAAGUAGUGCAUAGUUAACAAACUUAGAAGUUUCACUUUUCAAACUACAGAACUACGAAGGAGGUGCGUUCUGGAUACCUCCCGUGACAAGAAACAGGCUCGAGCUCCCUUUUGAUACAAAUAAUCAACACCUACCACGCGAACUUCCAUAUGGAGCAUGUUACCUGUAUAAUUACGAGCUAUUGCUACUAUUCGUCUCAACCUGAGUAUCUAUGGUGUAUAGAAACGGAGGCAACUACGUUAGUACAAUAAAGUGAGGUUCUGUGUGUGAAAAAGUACUAAGGUUUUAAACCCACGUCAACAAACGAGCCUUGAAUAUAACGAUACUAGGUUUAAGUUUGAGACCCCUUAACCUCUAACGGACAGGUCUUAGACUCAAAGGAAAGUCGUAAGUAUGCAAACAACUUUCAUAUCAAGGAGACGCAAUUCUAUUAAAGUAGUUCUUCUAUGUUACUACAACCAGAAGAAAUAAGAACUUCUAUCUAAAGUCGAAUGUCUAAAUGUAAUAGAAACAACAAAAAAGAGAAGUUUUUACCUCAACAAUUGACGGAAUUAAACCGGAUGAAAUAGUGAGAGACACUAAUCAAUAUUCUUGUUAGAACUUUUAAAGGAUUGUUGAGUGAAACAGAACUAAGACUCUCAACGUAAUUAACAUUAAAGUAUUAUAUGGCUUCUGAAAUAUCAGGUUCAAUCCUUCUUAUAAAACAAGAAAAUGUAAAACGAAAGACAUUAAUAAGUCCCUUGUCGAACCAACUCUAUAAGCGAGGUCGAACACUUGGACCUACCGAUCGGACCGAAACACAGUACAUUUUAGUCUGAUUAGCGAAAGACAAUGCCUUGACGAGUACUGAUCAGACCGAAACACCGUACAUUUUGGAACCAACGGAGGAAAAGCGUACUAUUUCCGGAUCGACCAAACGUAUCAGACCAAAAGACUUUAACUGCCUACCAACACUCACGUGGGCAAAAACGCACAAAACUUUAACUACGUCUAACAAGUGUACUCUGAUAGCAAACACAGAAGUAUUACAACAUUUACGUCAGAGUCCGGAGUUCGACCGGUAUCUCUC